GAUGAACGCUGGCGGCGUGCUUAACACAUGCAAGUCGAACGAAGAACUUUAUUUGAUUUCCUUCGGGACUGAUUAUUUUUUGACUGAGUGGCGGACGGGUGAGUAACGCGUGGUUAACCUGCCUUGUACAGGGGGAUAACAGUUGGAAAGGGCUGCUAAUACCGCAUAAGCGCACAGCAUCGCAUGAUGCAGUGUGAAAAACUCCGGUGGUAUAAGAUGGACCCGCGUUGGAUUAGCUAGUUGGUGAGGUAACGGCCCACCAAGGCGACGAUCCAUAGCCGACCUGAGAGGGUGACCGGCCACAUUGGGACUGAGACACGGCCCAAACUCCUACGGGAGGCAGCAGUGGGGAAUAUUGCACAAUGGGCGAAAGCCUGAUGCAGCGACGCCGCGUGAGCGAAGAAGUAUUUCGGUAUGUAAAGCUCUAUCAGCAGGGAAGAUAAUGACGGUACCUGACUAAGAAGCACCGGCUAAAUACGUG
rnacentral:rRNA from 1 species